AGAGAGAGACAUGCGCGCAUAUCAAUAAGCGGAGGAAAAGAAACUAACUAGGAUUCCCCUAGUAACGGCGAGUGAAGCGGGAAGAGCUCAAAUUUGAAAUCUUCAAGGUUCUACCUUGAGCGAAUUGUAGUUUAAAGAAGUGUUUUCUGUUGGAGUUUUGGUAAAAGUUCUUUGGAAUAGGACAUCAUAGAGGGUGAGAAUCCCGUAUUUGACCAUUAUUUCCAGCUUUGUGAUACACUUUCAAAGAGUCGGAUUGUUUGGGAAUGCAGUCCAAAAUGGGUGGUAAAUUUCAUCUAAAGCUAAAUAUUGGCGAGAGACCGAUAGCGAACAAGUACCGUGAGGGAAAGAUGAAAGGAACUUUGAAAAGAGAGUUAAACAGUACGUGAAAUUGUCAAAAGGGAAGCGUUUGACACCAGUGUUGUUUUCUCGAAAAUCAAUUAAAAAAGGCAGGAUUUUGUGUUGUAUUGACCUUAAUCAGCUUCUGCACUUCAAUUUUCUUGUCUUUUUUAAUGCACUUUUCGUUUAACAAGUCAACAUCAGUUUCUUUUGUUGUAAAAGGGUCAUUGGAAGGUGGCUUUCUUUUCGGAGAAAGUGUUUAUAGCCUUUGGCCUCUGCAAUCGGAGAGAUUGAGGUCUGCAGCGUAGAUCCUUCGGGGUUAGAUACAUUUGUGCUAAGUUAUAGCCUUUCAUAGACAACUUGUUGACUAUGAUCAGUCAUGUAGCUUACUCGCUUAUGCUAUUUUACCUACGCUUAGGAUGUUGAUGUGAUACUGCGAGCA
rnacentral:rRNA from 1 species